rnacentral:lncRNA from 1 species
GAAUCGGCACCAAACCCAUCAAUCCAUCACUGGUAUCCCGCAAUUCUUCGUGCUGCUCUAAUAACUCAAGGCGUGAUUCAAAACCCUAGUUCAAACCAUCCUUUUCAGUGCUACCCAAAUCAAUCACCUUCCUGACACUCUCCGAAACCCUCUGUUUUACAAGUCAAAUUGCUUUCUCUGAGACCAUUAUUCUUACGGUCAGAAGCGCUUGGAAAAUUGGAAGGGGUAGAAGUGAUGUUGGCCAAUGAUAACGCGAUCAUUCGGAAGCAAGAGAAAAUAUUAGCUUGGCUUUAACCCAUUUAGCUAUGCUUGCAAAUAACCCCGGAGUUGCGAUUCUGUACGAGCCAUUGAAUCCCAUAGGAUUAGAAAGGCCAAAUCUGAUGCCAAUAAGACGUUACCUCCAGUCUCCACAAUCCAUUACAAUACCUCGGAAUCAAUUAUUUUUGAGUGGGAUUGUUGCACAGUUCAUCCCUCAUAUUGACACUUACAUCAUUCCUCAACAUAUACCCAAAUACAAGAGCAAGGGUUCGAACACCAUGCGAGGAAAAGAAUAUAGAUAAAAGAUAAAAAAAAAAUUGAAGUAAAACUUGGAGAAGGAAAUGGCAGAAGGUGUU